AUGACUUCCUGGAUUGUGUUGCUGGAGAUGGCUCUCUGUGGACUCCUGCAUCAGUGUUUCCCUGGCAUGGGGGCAUAGCAGUCCUAGUGGUAUGUUUCUUGUGCUGUCCCAGCCUACAGGAUUUAAUUAUGUGUGAAGAGUUGAAACUGGAUUAUUUCUUGUUUCUUGAUUGUUGCAUGUUUCAGGCUUUGAUCCUUAGCCUACCUGCUAUCUACAGACGUCCUUACAUUUCCGGGAUCAUCUCAAAUGCUUUUCUUUCUAUAAAAUAUUUGUCCUAUAAGUGAUCCUUGGUUGA
rnacentral:lncRNA from 1 species